rnacentral:rRNA from 1 species
AUGGCACUGUCGCCUCUGAAUCUGAAGGUCGCCGCCGGGCCGCUCAUAUGGUUCGUGCUCGCGCAGGGGCUCUUCGUCGGGCUGAUCGUCCGCGGGGUGGAGCUCGCGCCGCCGCCGCCGGCCAACGCGACGCUGCCCCUCGCCCGUUGUGCAGCCGGGCCCUGCCACCGCCAGAUGAUGGACGCCAUGCACGCGUUCUCGCUGCUCGCCGUGGGGGCAUCGGCCUACGUCGCCCUCGCCGUCAAGAUCCACCGCAGUGACCGGCCGACCGCGGGGAUCUGCAUCCGCGCCCCCAUGCUGCUCGCCGUCGCGCUGUCGCUGGCGGCCACCGUCCUCCAGACGGCGACGCUCUUCUACCUGCAGCAGGUGAAGCUGGGCGCCAACUACUCCUGCUUCUCCGUCGCCACCAAGGGCUGCGUGUGGGCCUACGCGCUGAUGGGGCUCAUGUGCGCCUGGAGGCACUGCCAGCUCGCCGGCGUCGCCAUCUGGUCCGAGUAA